UACAGAGGGGGCAAGCGUUGUUCGGAAUUACUGGGCGUAAAGGGCGCGUAGGCGGCCUGCUAAGUCGAACGUGAAAUCCCCGGGCUCAACCCGGGAACUGCGUCCGAUACUGGCAGGCUUGAAUUCGGGAGAGGGAUGUGGAAUUCCAGGUGUAGCGGUGAAAUGCGUAGAUAUCUGGAGGAACACCGGUGGCGAAGGCGGCAUCCUGGACCGAGAUUGACGCUGAUGCGCGAAAGCCAGGGGAGCAAACGGGG
rnacentral:rRNA from 1 species